GAUGAAGAACGUAGCGAAAUGCGAUAAGUAAUGUGAAUUGCAGAAUUUAGUGAAUCAUCGAAUCUUUGAACGCACAUUGCGCCCAUUAGCAUUCUAGUGGGCAUGCCUGUUCGAGCGUCAUUUCAACCCUUAAGCCCUGUUGCUUAGCGUUGGGAGCCUACAGUACUGUAGCUCCCCAAAGUUAGUGGCGGAGUCGGUUUCACACUCUAGACGUAGUAAUUUUUUCUCGUCUGUAGUUGAGCCGGUCCCCUGCCGUAAAACACCCAAUUUAUCAAGGUUGACCUCGGAUCAGGUAGGAAUACCCGCUGAACUUAAGCAUAUCAAUAAGCGGAGGA
rnacentral:misc_RNA from 1 species